rnacentral:misc_RNA from 1 species
GAUCUCCACAAUAGACCAGAGUAUCUUGUCAUAACAGAUUUUGAACCCAUUUUGACUAGCUAAACAAUUCCUACUGUAAGGCUUCUUGAUAAAAUGGAGAUUCUUAUUAGCAAAGCCCAAUGUUACAUGAACAUCGCUAGCCUUAUACACAGUGAACUCAGGGAAGAAAAGAAGAGAAUGUGUUUUACAAUAAGUUAGAACUGGCAGGAAGAUUCGUUGGUUUGCUAUAAACAACGGCUUAGGUUAGUCAACCUACCCCAUUCUUCUACUCGGCGUCCCAGUGUGCACCUGAAUCCACUUGGUUGGAAGUCAACAGUCGGCAAAAAUUACUGAAAACGUUUUAUUGCAUUAUCACAAAUUCAUCACCAAUAGUAUGCUCUUCUGAUGAUAUAUAUUGCAAAUUGCAAAUCGCAAAUUGCAAACAAAUUGAGAUCUUGCAAGCUAAGAUCUUCACAGUAAUAAAUGCAGAGGAUCCCCACUUUUGCCCCUCUUUGCUUUAAUCAGUGGAUCGAUGAUACUUCUCCAGCCAGUAUAAUCUAUGGUGGAGCCAGAAUCAGGCAAUGCAAAUCCAUUGAUAUAGAAAGUAGGCGUGCCAAAUACUCCUCUUGAAACACCAUACUGCAUCAUAAACAGAUAUUGAACAUCAAUCGUAUGCUAAGAGAUGAAAGGAAAAUAAAGUAUGAUAACUGUGACUACUGACUACAAGACUGCAAGGUUAUAGCUAGCAAAGUUGUUGGGAAAAAAAAUUGUGCCCAGAGACGAAAGCAAAACAGAGAAAGGAACAAAAGCAUUGUAAGUUGCUUCCUUGCUGGUUUGCAGCUCGCUAGAAUGUUAUCCACAGGAGCAAUUUUCAUGGAUAUUAUUAGCAGCAGUAGAAAACAAUUCAGGUGCACGGCAACAUUCUACCUCAUAAAUUUAAUUGAAUCUCAUCUUACCUUGAAGGAAACCCUUGUUUUAAGAUCAGUUUUUCUGUCAUUAAAGCUAGAUUCAAUUGCAGAACAAUAAGAGUUCCCAACUGUUACAGUGGCAAAUUUCACGAUUUCUUUUUCAACAUAAGCUCUUGAUCAGUUGUUUCUUUCAGCAUUAUAGAACCUCUCCUGAUAUUAGCACAUACAAGUACAAGAAGUUAGUCAACAUAGCAAACUCAAAUUGCUGUAAAAACUAGAAACACAACUAAAUUCGUCUAAUUAAAACUAACGGGCAGCUCCAUAUUCUUUUCAGCUGCUGAUGGAUUUUGUGAACUUAAUCAACAAUUAACAUCCAGCCUAACAAAGAUUUGAGUUUUUUUCUAGGAAUGAAAAGCCAAUUUUAGCACAGGACAUCUUGGACUUUAAUGUGGUAGUGUUUGGCAAGGAAGCUUCUAGGGGAGACAUAAAAGAUACUGGAGGAGAAUUUUCUCAUAAACAGCCUGCUGAAACUGGAUGUUAUUUUGUCUGGCAACUGAAAAAGGAUGUAUAUUAAUAAUAUUGAGCUGCUGCACAAAUGGCAGGGUAAGUGAUUCCCAAGAACAAUUCCACCACUUCCAGAUUUAAAGUGCACGCAGCUGAAGCCAUCAUAGCAUUCAUGGUAAUGAGCUACCUAAUACAAAACAUGUUGAAUUCACACUUUCCAUUUCUUGCAGGGCGGUAAGUCAAGUUGUCAAUAGGGAGGUAAGACCACUUCCACUUGUCUCUCUAAGAUUGCUCAAUUAAAGGUGGGCCCAUCAAAACUGUGUCAUAAGAAAGUGUAGAUAAAUCAAGGGGCAAUGCAACCUUAAGCCAUAAAAAAUUUUAACAGAACAGCAGUGAAAACCAAUCAAAGCAAUCAAGGGCUAAAGCUUCAACCUCGACGAUACGUGUUCAAAUGAAAAAGACCAAUAGCUAUGGUAAUAUUUUCCCUCAAUAUGUUAAUGUUAUCGAGUAUAACAAUGUUUAUCCAUAUAAGAGACUAAGAGUUGGUAUGGGGAUGGAAUCAAUGAGUAUAAUGUUCAGGUUGUACAGUUAAUUUCCCUUUACUAAAAGAGAAAAUGCAAUUAUCUUUUCAUGAAUUGAGAGAUAGACCACUAAUAUUUAGGUUCUAACCUGAUGCACAUAGAACUGCUAUAACAAGGGGAAUUGUAGAAUAAGUGCUCACCAGAUUUGCAAUAUGCAGAGCACAAGAAGCGACAAACGCAUUGUCAUGGUAUCUGCAGUUUCCGGAAGGAACCAUAUUAAAUCAAAUUCAAGAAAAAAAGAUGUUCAACGUAUUUGAAAAAGCUAACUGAGAUAUUUCAUUCGAUUACAUACAAAAUUGCACAUGCCACAAAUGGGGAAAGAAUAAAGGUAGGAUUGGGGAUUAGGGCCCAAAUUUCUAAUGGAUCUUAUAGUUCUCUAUAUGCUUUGGAACAGAUUUAUGGAUUUCCAACUUGAUAAUAAGAGGUAAUUUGCAGGUCCACUGCGUAUAAGAGCAGUGAUUUAUUCCGCAAAAUGAAAGAAUCCAUUGCCCCCACCCCCCUUGAGUGGACAAAACAAGAACUAUCUUAAGAAAGCAUGACAAAUUUCCAUUGUAAAACGCUCCCAGAAUCUAAAAAUAAUGUUUAAACCCAGUAAGCCUUAACAGUCUAAUUCAUUUUUAUUUAUGCAAAAGUCUAAAACAAUAGAGCAUAGAGAGAACAAUGAAAGAGCAAAUAGUCCGCUUAAACAUCACUAAUUACUUAAAACCCUGUUCAUUUAUAAUUACAACUCCAUACAUUCAAAACUAAUCAUAAUCAGGGACACAAUGUCUUCAACAAAAGCAACCCAAUUGCGAUGCUCAUACUUCCAUUUUCCCGCUUAAUCCAAAUUACUCCCUUGCUAUGACGCAUCAAUUCCCCAUCUAGUAAAGGGAGGAGGCCAAGAAUCUCUGUUAUUGGGGCAUACAGGAUCAUAGAAGGGUUCAAUACGGAUGGAGUCAGCGUCACCAAGCCAAUUCUGGUAGACGAACCCAUCGGACCUUACAAGUGGCAAGCUCUGGGCAUGCGGGUUCCAGAGAGACCCACUGAUAAGAAAGAAAAAGAAGAACAACAAUAUGAGAGCGGCGAGUAGUGCGCUUGAGUUUAACGAGGAGUGAGAGAAACUGAGAAAGUUCA